rnacentral:rRNA from 1 species
CAGCAGCCGCGGUAAUACGAAGGGUGCAAGCGUUAAUCGGAAUUACUGGGCGUAAAGCGUGCGUAGGCGGUUUGUUAAGUCUGUUGUGAAAUCCCCGGGCUCAACCUGGGAAUGGCAAUGGAUACUGGCAAGCUAGAGUGUGUCAGAGGAUGGUGGAAUUCCCGGUGUAGCGGUGAAAUGCGUAGAGAUCGGGAGGAACAUCAGUGGCGAAGGCGGCCAUCUGGGACAACACUGACGCUGAGGCACGAAAGCGUGGGGAGCAAACAGGAUUAGAUACCCCCGUAGUCCCUGUCUCUUAUAA